GACAGAAGGGAUAAGCGUUAUUCAUAUUUACUGGGCGUCAAGGGUAUGUAGGUGGUUUAUCAUGUUUAGCGUUAAAGUCUAUGGAUUGCCCCAUAAGUCUACACUUUUUACAGAUAAACUUGAGUUAGGUUAAGGUUCGGAGUACUCUCUGUGUAGUAUUAAAAUGCGAAAAUAUAGAGAUGACUGCCUACUAUGAAGAUACCGUUCUUAGCUUAACUGACGCUGAGGUACGGAAGUAUGGGUAUCGAACGGG
rnacentral:misc_RNA from 1 species